rnacentral:rRNA from 1 species
UCGGGAAUUUUGGGCAAUGGGGGAAACCCUGACCCAGCAACGCCGCGUGAAGGAUGAAGUAUUUCGGUAUGUAAACUUCGAAAGAAUAGGAAGAAUAGAUGACGGUACUAUUUAUAAGGUCCGGCUAACUACGUGCCAGCAGCCGCGGUAAUACGUAGGGACCAAGCGUUGUUCGGAUUUACUGGGCGUAAAGGGCGCGUAGGCGGCAAUUCAAGUCAUCUGUGAAAUCUCCGGGCUUAACUCGGAACGGUCAGAUGAUACUGCUUUGCUAGAGUGCAGAAGGGGCAAUCGGAAUUCUUGGUGUAGCGGUGAAAUGCGUAGAUAUCAAGAGGAACACCUGAGGUGAAGACGGGUUGCUGGGCUGACACUGACGCUGAGGCGCGAAAGCCAGGGGAGCAAACGGGGAUUAGAUACCCCCGUAGUCCCUGAGCGGGCUGGCAAGGCGCAU